rnacentral:rRNA from 1 species
ACGGAAGGCAGCAGUAGGGAAUCUUCGGCAAUGGGGGCAACCCUGGCCGAGCAACGCCGCGUGAGUGAAGAAGGUUUUCGGAUCGUAAAGCUCUGUUGUAAGAGAAGAACGUGUGUGAGAGUGGAAAGUUCACACAGUGACGGUAACUUACCAGAAAGGGACGGCUAACUACGUGCCAGCAGCCGCGGUAAUACGUAGGUCCCGAGCGUUGUCCGGAUUUAUUGGGCGUAAAGCGAGCGCAGGCGGUUUAAUAAGUCUGAAGUUAGAGGCAGUGGCUUAACCAUUGUUCGCUUUGGAAACUGUUAGACUUGAGUGCAGAAGGGGAGAGUGGAAUUCCAUGUGUAGCGGUGAAAUGCGUAGGUAUAUGGAGGAACACCGGUGGCGAAAGCGGCUCUCUGGUCUGUAACUGACGCUGAGGCUCGAAAGCGUGGGGAGCAAACAGGAUUAGAUACCCUGGUA